rfam:Rattus norvegicus chromosome 4, whole genome shotgun sequence.
UCUUAGUAUCUUUGGGAAGCAGACAGAAUUCUGCCCAUAGAAUCAGCUCAUCCUAAUGUCGAGGAUGCUAAGCCGUUUGGCUCUGAUUUUUCCAAAGAUCCCACUUUUUUUUUUUUUUUAAAAUCUGUUAGUGUGACUGUGUGACUACUUGUCACAUCGUCACAUAAUUGUGUUCCUUGCCUUAGGACAG